rnacentral:ncRNA from 2 species
GAGUUUCUUUUGAGGCCGGCCGCUUCCCAGCCAGGCUGAAAGGGCUCGGGAAGCUAGCUGGCCUUGUUGGCCCUU